rnacentral:rRNA from 1 species
UACGUAGGGGGCAAGCGUUGUCCGGAUUUAUUGGGCGUAAAGAGCGUGUAGGCGGCUUUACAGGUCCGUUGUGAAAACUCGAGGCUCAACCUCGAGACGCCGGUGGAAACCGUAAAGCUAGAGUCCGGAAGAGGAGAGUGGAAUUCCUGGUGUAGCGGUGAAAUGCGCAGAUAUCAGGAGGAACACCCGUGGCGAAAGCGGCUCUCUGGGGACGGUACUGACGCUGAAGACGCGAAAGCGUGGGGAGCAAACAGG